rnacentral:lncRNA from 1 species
CGGCCGGCACGCACCGCGUACGCUCGACAUGCUGUAUCCGUAUGAUUGGUGCCUUCGUACGGGCUGGUCCAUACUCCAUAUGGGAGCGGCUACAGAUACUCAACAAAGUGGUCAGUCGAUUGUUAAACAAAGGAAAAAGAUUGCAACCUAAAAGAAAACUGACUGACCCAAAACUAUGGUCAGUCAGUCAGCCCAACAGAAAGAAAAGCUCAGUACUCUCUGUUUCUUUCUUCUGCUGUCUCUUUAGCCCAGAAAGAAAACGGGCCUGAACCCGCUAAGCUAAAGAUCCAGUUAACGUACAGCUCACUAGGUCUUCCCCCUUGCCUCCUCUUCUUUCUUUCUCGACACCCACACAGCCGCCACCAUGGGAGGAGAAAAAAAGCUCAGAUCUCCUGUUGCCUUCUGAUGUUUCUGCCCAACUUCUCCAGACGAUUCUUGCUGGCAACUACCUUCUCCUUCGUCCACCAAACCAACAGCAGCAGAUCUGCUAGAAAAAUGGAUAAUCCUCAAUUUCAUACCCAGAUCACAGAUUGCAUAUUCUUUUUGAUCUAUGAAAAAAACAGGGAGAAAUGCAUAUUCAUGCAAUGGGGAAAAAUAAGAAGGGAUGCUCACUGCCUGAAGAACAAGAUGGACAACAAAAUUUGCACUUCCAUCAUACAAAAUUUGCGCACAUUUUACAACAGCAAGACUGAUAUUAACCAUUUUGAUAACGUAAUUUAGUGUUUACUGGAGGUAAAUACAUUAAUUUGUACAAAAAGCAUUUAACCUACAUGGAUUACAGGGUAGCUGAUUGAAUUCAUAAUCUUUUACCUUCAUAAAACUUGCACCCUCAAACUACUAGACUUGCACACACUUUGUAAAGAGAGAAAAAAUGAUAUACAAUCUAAAAACUAAACUUGCAUGCUUAAAAUGCUAAAAUUGCACAUUCAUCACAGUAAAUUUGCGCACAUUUCACGACAACAAAACUGAUAUUGCAGGACGUAUAUAUAUGAACGUAGCAACACCCAAUUCACAAAAAAUAUAACUACAGCAAAGAAAACUAAUCCACAAAAAAUCAAAAUUUACAAAAAAAGAACUUGCAUCAUCAUCAUACUAUACUUGCGCACACUUUAUCAGAGCGAAAAAUUCAAAAAACCCUUGAAACAAAAAUGAUACUACGAAAAAAUGGAAACUACUGUAAGAAAGAACCCAAUACUAAAUUUAGAUGUGUACAAAAUGAUACCCUAGUUUGAGAUUAACUGCAUGUAUAAACAUCGAUAUCCUAGUUUGAGGUGAACUGCAAAUUUCAUAAACCCCUUAAUUAUACCCCGUCUCACUAGAAACAGAUCAUAAAAAUGGAUACAAAAAUGAUAUCUACUGAAUUUACAGAGUAACUCAAUCAAACUAAGAAUUAUAACUAAAUCACAAACCUAAACCAUAAAAAAAUAAAAAUAAAAAUAGCAUCAUCAUGUAACUAAAUCUUGCACGCUAUUAACAACAGCAAGCAAAUCAUGAACUGUGUGAAAAAAGUUUUACUGCAAGUAGACACAUUGAUUUGUACAAAAAGGCAUUUAACCUACAUGGAUUACAGGGCACCUAAGUGAAUUCACAAAAAUAACUACAACAACGAAACUAAUCCAUAAAAUUCAACAUUUACAAAAAUAAAACUUGUAUCCUCAAAAUACUAGACUUGCACACACUUUAUAAGAGAAAAAAAAUGAUAUACAAAUCCAAAACUAAACUUGCAUGAUCAAAGUACUAAUAUUGCACUUUCAUGAUACUAAACUUGCGCACGUUUUCCAACAGCAAAAGACUGGUAUUAUCCUUUUCAAUAACGUAAUUUAGUUUUUACUGGAGGUAGAUACAUUAAUUUGUAUAAAAGGCAUUUGACCUACAUGGAUUACAGGGGAGCUAAGUGAAUUCACGAUUAUAACUACUGCAACAAAACUAAUCCAUAAAAUUCAGAAUUUACAAGUAAAACUUGCACCCUCAAGAUAAAUAGACUUGCGCGUACUUUAUAAAAGCAAAAAUUCAUGUAGAAUCCAAUACUACACUUGCAUGCUCAUCAUACUAAAAUUGCACAUUCAUCAUAGUAAACUUGCGCACAUUUUACAACAGUAAAGACUAAUAUUAACCUUGUACAAAAGGGUAGAUAUAUUGAUUUAACAAACAAGGAUUACAUGAUAGAUAACUCAAUCAACAAUUAUAACUACAGCAAACAGAACUACAUAUAUUGGUUGAUUGAACCCGCAUUGAUUCGUGAUACUAAACUUGCAAACACUAAACAACAGGAAAGAUUCAUACAAAAAGACUUGGUUAAAAAAGAUUUAUACUACAUGAGAUACACAAUACCUAUAAUUAAACUCAAAGGUGAAUCAUACUGAAUCUUGCACACAAUGUACAACAGCAAAGAAGUUUCAUACAAGAAAUCCUUGAAUAACAUGCACACAAAAAUUCACCCCAUAGAAAGUACAUAUAUUUGAAGAACAUUAAUACAACUCACCAUCCUCCUGAAGCAAGCAUCAUCAACUACAACACCGAAAACCUCUGGGACUUCAUGAGCUUCCACAACUGGUAAGCACGGAGCACCCGGACAACGGCAAACAGGGCAAACCAUACCUACAUAAAAAAAACAUCAAAUUUGACUAGAUACUAAACAUACACACACUGAAAAAAAACAUUUGCUCGAACCUAGAAACAGACUACCAAAACCUAAAACCUACAAAGUAACUACCAAACCUAAACAUGUAAAAAUCUGAAGAAAAUCAAGAAUGAGCAAGAAGCACACUACGUAAAAUAUAUUGAGAAUGACAAUAUAAAAAAAGAUUGGAUCUUUAAGUACAUACAAGACUUAGUUAACAUAAUCUCUUCAAACCCUAAAACCAAAACACCACACAUCUAACAAUCCUACCCAUGCUACUUGCACUACAACCAAAGGAAUUAUCAUGAUAACCCUAAUCAGAACAAAAUACUGGAACAAAUCUGAACACUACAAAAAGACCUACCAGAAGCAUCAUAAACUACUCCCAAAUAACGCAAACACGAUUUCAAUAAUCAGAUCUGAAAAAAAUCAGAAAGCCUAGGUAAACCAAGAUAAAAUAAGAACCCUAGAAGACUACUCUAACUAGCAAGAAACAAAAGCAGAAGAAGUGUAAAAGAACAGCAAGCAGAUCUGACAACAAACUUCACGAACCCUAGAGGACAAAUCUAUCUACCAACAAAAGCAGUACAAUAACAAGAGUCAACAAAAGACAAUUACCUGAAACAACGGAUGAGAUCCAGCAAAGCUAAUCCCUCUGCCAAGAGAGCCCGGAUUGGCAAAACCUGCAAAGAAAAAGAGCAUGAGUAAAGCACCUAGGUAUAAAAUCAGAUUAAGAAACAUCAGCACAUCAAGCAGAUCAAACAAAAGCAAAGGGAGAAUUAAACUCAGAACAAGCAGACCACGGGGGAGAGGAAGAGGAGAAGCUUCACGAACCCUAGCGGAGGCAAGGAAGAGGAGAAGACAGAACGGAAGAGCGACUGAGGCAACCACGGGACAAGUGACUGACAGAUAACGAGCAGCGAGAGGAUAAUACGAGAAGAGCGCCGACGGUCGGCAUCCGACCGCACGGGCCGGG